rnacentral:rRNA from 1 species
UACGGAGGGUGCAAGCGUUAAUCGGAAUUACUGGGCGUAAAGCGCACGCAGGUGGCUGAGUCAGUCGAUUGUGAAAGCCCUGGGCUUAACCUGGGAAUUGCAGUCGAUACUACUCGGCUCGAGUAUGGGAGAGGGCAGUGGAAUUCCCGGUGUAGCGGUGAAAUGCGUAGAUAUCGGGAGGAACAUCAGUGGCGAAGGCGGCUGCCUGGCCCGAUACUGACACUCAGGUGCGACAGCGUGGGGAGCAAACAGG